GGAGUUUAUAAGAGGCCUAGCUUCCAGGCCUAGUGAGAGGAGUGUGGGCUAUGCACAGUGUGGCGUGCCAGUUUUUUUUGCUUGGUUUCUCUUUUCCUUUUUUCUUUGAAGCAUUUGGUUGCCAGAUUGGACAUUUGUAUCUAAGAUGGGUGAAAGUGGCUUGGCUUACCUUGGGCUCGCACAGUCUCAGGAAAUCAACGCUGAGUUCCAAAACAGAGGGUCAAAGUUGGAGGACAAAGGAAAUACCUUUCCUGAGGUCUUGACCCCCUUCCAGAGGCUGAAGUACAGCACCACAAUGACCACUGCCAGACAGGAAGUAAGCUGCCAGCGUGGCAGUCCCA